rnacentral:misc_RNA from 1 species
UUAACUAUUAUAUAGUACUCAGACGACACUAAUAUUCAGGGUUUUGGGUCCUCUGGCAGGCACGCACAGGCCGGAGCCCGUGGUGUUUCCACGGCCUACCAAAGCAACUAAGGUAUAAGUAUUCAAGGGUGGGAGAUCUACCCGUGAGGGCAUGAACUCUGUAAUGAUCCUUCCGCAGGUUCACCUACGGAAA